CGAGUGGUUCAGCUGGUUAGAACGCCGGCCUGUCACGCCGGAGGUCGAGGGUUCAAGUCCCUUC
rnacentral:tRNA from 1 species